rnacentral:misc_RNA from 1 species
GGUGAUGUAUUUAAAGGAGAACUCUCAGAUAAAACUGUAGUCAUUAAGCAGUUGCAUCAUUAUAAUAUGCAACAGCCAUCACAGUUUUUUGAACAGGUGGAAAUUCUAGCUAAGUUACGUCAUCCUCAUCUGGUCACUUUACUUGGUGUAUGCCCAGGAUCUUGGUGCCUUGUUCAUGAAUAUUUUCCUGGCUUGAGCCUCCAAGAUCGCCUCUUCUGGAAAAAUAACACUCGUCCCAUGAAAUGGAAGAUGCGAGCACGAAUUCUUGCUGAAAUUGCGAGUGCACUUCUGUUUUUGCACUCUUCAUACCCUGAAAAAAUUGUACAUGGGGAUCUGAGGCCUGAGAAUGUGCUCAUUGAUUCUACGGGCAGCUGUAAAAUAUGUGAUGUCGGCAUAUCUAGUCUGAUACCUAAGCAAGCCCUACGAUGCCCGAGUUUCGAUCGUCUUAGUGAACCAAAGGGUCUGUUUGCCUACACUGAUCCUGAAUUUCAUGAAACUGGAGCUAUGACACCUAAAUCGGACAUUUAUGCUUUUGGACUUAUUAUCCUUCAAAUGCUCACUGGAAGAACUCUAACAGGACUAGUGAAUGAAGUACGCAGGGCAGUCUUAUAUGCACAAUUAGACUCUCUUUUGGAUUCAUCUGCUGGAGAAUGGUCUACAUUUGUGUCAAGGAGGUUAGCAGAACUGGCAUUGCAAUGCUGUGAAUUAAACAGUAGGGAUAGGCCUGAGCUGACAUCAUCUCUUGUAAUGGAGCUAAAGAACUUGAAUGAGUCUGAAGAACAAUCAGUGCCCUCCUUUUUCUUAUGUCCGAUUCGCCAGGACAUAAUGAAUGACCCCCAGGUUGCUGCAGACGGGUUCACAUAUGAAG